CGUGAAAUUGUUGAAAGGGAAGCGCUCAUGACCAGACUUGGGCUUGGUUGAUCAUCCAGGGUUCUCCCUGGUGCACUCUUCCAGCCCAGGCCAGCAUCAGUUCGCUGUGGGGGAUAAAGGCUUUGGGAAUGUGGCUCCUCCGGGAGUGUUAUAGCCCAUUGUGUAAUACCCUGUGGUGGACUGAGGUUCGCGCAUCUGCAAGGAUGCUGGCGUAAUGGUCAUCAGCGACCCGUCUUGAAACACGG
rnacentral:rRNA from 1 species